AGCGAACGCUGGCGGCAGGCUUAACACAUGCAAGUCGAACGCGCUCUUCGGAGCGAGUGGCAGACGGGUGAGUAACGCGUGGGAACGUGCCCUCCGGUUCGGGAUAACCCAGGGAAACUUGGGCUAAUACCGGAUACGUGCUUAUGGCAGAAAGGUUUACUGCCGGAGGAUCGGCCCGCGUCUGAUUAGCUAGUUGGUGGGGUAACGGCCUACCAAGGCUGCGAUCAGUAGCUGGUCUGAGAGGAUGAUCAGCCACACUGGGACUGAGACACGGCCCAGACUCCUACGGGAGGCAGCAGUGGGGAAUAUUGGACAAUGGGCGCAAGCCUGAUCCAGCCAUGCCGCGUGAGUGAUGAAGGCCUUAGGGUUGUAAAGCUCUUUUACCCGGGACGAUAAUGACGGUACCGGGAGAAUAAGCCCCGGCUAACUUCGUGCCAGCCGCCGCAGUAACAC
rnacentral:rRNA from 1 species